UAUGGUCUAAUUCCAUCACUCUCUUCUUCUACAAUUUUCUCUAAUUCACUCCCAAAAUUGUUGCAUCCUGUUUGCUCUUGGAAUUUCUGUCAUGUUGCCCUCUUCAAUUUUUUAAAAUUCAAGCUAACGCUGAUGAAUAUUUGUUGGGUUUUCCUGGUCUUGCUUUAUUAUUAGUAGUAAUCACAAUUUGAGGACUUCAUACAGGCCAUCUAAACUGCCACCGAGCCACUUGAGCUAUGGGCAUACAGGUGAAUAUGAGAGACACUGUGCAGAAGGAAACGUUGAAGUAUUUUUUACCUCCAAAAGCUUUCAUCAUCACAUGUAUUUUAGAUUACAAACAGGAGAUAGCCUCGGCUAGCUUAAAAACAAACUUGCAUCAGCGUUAGAAGAUGUGAUUAGUUUCCUAACACUCAACUUUGUACAAUUAUAACUAAAGUCAUGAUAAACAAAAUAUAAUUCUGUAGAUGGUAUGUCGCUAUACAUUGAACAUGACAGAUUGUGUUUGUACGCAACUUCUUUACUAAAUACUUUAGUUAAACUAGAAAACCAUGUGAUUGGGCCCGUGCGAUUGCUAGUAAGAAUAAAAGGUCACAGAACGUGGGUCACAACUUGACCAUUAAACUUCCAUCCGUUCUUCACAAAUGACGUACAAUUAAUAUAUAAAAUUAAUAUGUCAAAUAGGAAAGAGGAAAAGAACCAAGAUUAUUAGAGUUUUUUUUAGCAAAAUUAGAAGAGAAAAUAGCAAAAAAGGAAAAAAAAAAUAGCAAUGGUGGCCAGCUUUAUAUUAUAGUGUGGUAAUGGUUUUAGGUGUUCUCCAGGAAUUUUGAUGGCCAAAUGCUGAUUUUCAAAUAAAGUGAAAAAAAAAUUCAACAAAAAAGCGAAAAAUUCUCAUGGCCAAACUGUAAGAUUAGUCGUUCAUUGGAAUAAUAUUGAUAGAUGAUUUUUUUUUUGUUUUGCUUUUUGAUUAUUCCAGUCACUCUAAUUUAGUUUUUUUAGUUGGAUACAACCUCUAUAUUUUUAAAUCAAAUGCUUACCAUUUGUAGGAAUUUUCAAUAUAUGGUAGUUUUUAGUGUUUGAUGUUGUAAUAGAUGGGUAACCAUGUGUUGAAUUUUUGUUGUAGUAGUUGAGUCAUGUUUGCCGCUAUAUCAUAUAGGUCAUCCCAUAAAGCAAUUCUAGUGGUUCUAUCCGAGCUGGCAUAUACUAUUGUCACAAAAAAAACUCCUGUCCAUCAUCAAUAUUGGUGAGUUUCAGUGAGAGCAAUUGCUUAGUGUCCAUAUGUACUUCCAUUUGCAUGUUGUCUCCCACAAAAACCAUAUUUUGCAAGUUAUAUUAUGAACAACUGCAUCCAUGUUUAACCAAAGUUUAUACAUGUCAAUGUCUCCAUCAAAGCAAUGAAACUGAACUGUUUUUGUCUGUUUAACGAGACAACUCUCUCAAAAGCCUGUUGUGUAUUAACAGACCUUAUAUUCUAUAUUUGUGAGCAAUUCAUUGAGAGGUUGCCUUGACAAGUGCUUUCCUUGUUAGUACCCCUCCCCCUCGAUCUCUACCUUAGGAGGUACGCGUUUAUCCUUUGUUUUAUUUUGUCUCCCCUCUUUCCUAGCCUUAACAAGCUGUCUGGGUGAAACACCCCAUUUGUUUUGAUCAUCUACUGCUGCUGAGGUGUUUUUCAUUAUCAUCCCCAAUAUCCAUUUCCCCGUCUGAGAUCAGCUUUUGUUGCUCGUCCACAUUUUGAUUGCUAGUUGAAUGAUUUCUGGCAACUAACAAUAUGUUAUCUUCCUCUUUGCUCUUCUGUUUGCCUAUAAAAUGUAAAUCAUAUCAUAUAUAUAUAUAUAUAUAUAUAUAUAUAUAUAAAGGAGGACAUAGCCCGCUGACGUGGCAUCACAGAAUUGCAGGGUUUGUAUUUAUUUUUUUCCACAAUUUUUUGUCAAUUAAUUCUAUUUUACUCAAUUUUUCCAUAAAAAAAAAAGGUGACCCUUCGCUUAAAAAAUUUACCCAAGCGUCGCUUCUUUCCCUUCUUUCUUUUUCCCCCACAAGCUACCCUCUCAUUUUAUGCAAAAGACUUCUAAAAACGCCUUAAUCUUCUCUUCCUCCCACUCGCCAGGGUAAUCCCUUUAAUCGCUUUGAUUACCUUUCUCCUGUUACAUCUCAUUACCGCCAUUGUUUCUGUCACCCAUAUCCACAACAGCCACAUCCUCUCUGAACAAGGCUCCGAGUCACUAUACAACCCCUUAUAUGAGUGCCUAAACCUGGCAUUCUCACUGGAUGGCCAUGGACUUGGCUUCGAAACUUCUAGGUACUCUUUCCCCAACUUUGUAAUGCUAGGUAUAUUAAAUCUGCAAAAUCAAUCAAAUUUCAGUUAUAACUUUACAAAAGACGCGCCUUUUAAAAUUCUCUAAAAACCUUUCACACCGAAAUCUUCACGCUUCAAUAAGAAACAGUCAACAAUCAAUGGAGGAGAUUCAAACUCAACAUCAAACUUAUAUCCAUCUUCUUCUCCACGUCAAUUUCUUCCGAUUCUAACACCACCGAUUCUCAUUAAAACCCCAAAACAGCGUUUAGUUAAUGGAGUUCAGUGGAGGUUUCUGGUUUGGGGCCGAAAUUUUCCAGUCAGUUUUCAAGGUUUCCGUCGAGUUGAGGUCUCCGAUCGGGCAUCCUUUAUUCCUUUCGAAACUAGCAGAUUCAAGAGAUUCACUUGAGUCAUCGGAGCGACAAGCGGGAGGCAAAUUUGCCAGAGCAAGGAAUGAUGUACGAGUCAAAUCGGAGAUUCUGGUAAUGCUUCUACAUGAGGCGGUACCCCCUUUUCAUGCUAUGGCAUAUAGAGCGAGAAUGAGACUACGAUUGUCACAUAUUACAUUACGUAUGUUUUAGUUGUUUCAAAACAUUUUCUUCAUUUUUCUGUAAAUAUUCUUUAUUUAAUAGUUAAGUACAA